UACGGAGGGGGCCAGCGUUGUUCGGAAUUAUUGGGCGUAAAGGGCGCGUAGGCGGCUUUGCAAGUGACGGGUGAAAUCCCUCGGCUUAACCGAGGAACUGCCUGUCAAACUGCAUGGCUUGAGACCGGGAGAGGUGAGUGGAAUUCCCAGUGUAGCGGUGAAAUGCGUAGAUAUUGGGAGGAACACCAGUGGCGAAGGCGGCUCACUGGACCGGUACUGACGCUGAUGCGCGAAAGCGUGGGGAGCAAACAGG
rnacentral:rRNA from 1 species